rnacentral:tRNA from 2 species
CAAAAUGUAGUUUAGCAAAACAUUUCGCUUACACCAAAAAAACGUCCGUUUAAAUCAGACCAUUUUGA